AGAAAACAAAAAGCGUCAAAGUAGUGGAAUAACUCCCGACUUUGUACACAUCAACCCAAUAAAUACAAGGCAGGAAUGGGCUACUUAGCACCUUGCAUCCAAUCUGCCAUUCAAAAGACUAUCGUUGAUAUUUUACAUAAUUUUUCAUGGUGGAACCAUUCAAUUUCUUUGAAACCUUAAAAAUCUAUCGAAUAAAUUAUUUAGUAUACUUUUCGACAGAGCAUCCAUUCCUCCAAGAUUCAAAAAUCAGGUAAUUCCUGUAGAUUUAAAGUAAGAUAUAUUAUAUUUUAUAUUCUAACAUCUUUAGUAUAAGUGCUGAUAUUUCCCUUCUAAGCAUCUCCCUGUUAACCUUUUAUGACAAAUGCAUGGACCUACUUACUGACCUCUUAACAUCUAACAUAUAUUUUCCUUUUCCACUUCUAUACUUGUACAGAUUGGUUACAAAUGGUCCUUUGACCAUUUUCUUGCCUGGUUACUUAACUAGUUAUUAUUUCUUCGCAGUCACUUUUUGUUCUUGCAGAUUUCUUACUCGCCAGUAUAUCAUUAGCAAACUUAAUGCAUACACGAAGUGUGCAUAGCGGUGAAUACUCAUUCAUUAAAGAUGGGUACUAUCUGGCGGAGCAGUUAUCAUCGGAGUGGUCUGAGUCAGAGUGCUAACAGUUUGGCUCAACUAGUCAUCGGCAAGAACAGGCGGAGGUAAGGUAAGUAGGUAACUUUCUUGAAAUGAAGAUAAAAGGGGAAAAAACUGCAGAUACAGGAAAUCUGAAGAACAAAAAAUGCUGGAAAUGCUUAGGAACAUCUGCAGAAAGAGAAACAGAUGUCAGGGCUGCCUGUCCUCCUGGAGUGCAUGAGUAGUGCGAAGUUCCUGGAGUAGCUCAAUACGUUUCUCUUUGCCUUCGAACAUCUACAGGAAUAUUGGAAUGUGAUAGAGGAUAUCACCAGCAGCAGCAGUUCCGUACUUACUAACACAGACACAAGAGACUGCAAAUGCUGGGAUCAGGAGCAAAAAAAAACUGCUGGAGGAACUCAGCCAUUCAAGCAGUAUCUGUACAGGGGAAUGGACAACUUAUGUUUUGGGUGAAGUUCCUUCAGCAGCUUGUCUUUUUAUUUGCCAGCCCAGAUAUAUAAAUAAGGAUAUGAACAUGCAGCUGGACUGUUUUCCUUAAGAUGGCGCCAUCAUGCAAUAUUUUGUCAAGGAACACUGGUUCAGGUUUGUACUGAACAGUCAGCAGUGACUUGCCAACAUUUCCUCACUAAUAGUCAUCACCUUCAGGAUUUUCAUAUGAAUGUACAUGUCCUAAAGUUGCUGCUAACUGUAUAUAUUUUUUUUUUUCUAACCUAAGAUCCAGGCAAUAGGAACACAAGAUUAUUGUACGACCAGGCCAGGUUCUUUGAUUUUGGGGAACUAUAUUAGUAUUUUUAUAUUUACUUUUAACAUUAAUAAUUGAACAAUGUUCAAUAGGUUUGUACUGUUUCUGAUGAAGUAGAAUGUAUUCUGACACCACCCUCAUUGCUCAAUGCAAUGUCUUAGAAGCUGACCUGAAUUGAGACAGCUCCUCUCAGCAAAAUUCUGCUUGGUGAUUCAACAUGACACAAAUACAAAAUAUCAUAAACUUGUGCCAAACCCAGCUGUUAUCUGCAGAUUCUGGACUUCUAGAUCACAGCAGAUCUAUAACUAUCUCUGGAGUACUGUCAUCAUUCAACAUUUUAUGUAUUUGAUAUAUACCCCUCAACAAAAAGUGACUGAUAAAUAUCCCUUCAUCAUUACAUACAUUGUAAUUUCAAUUUAAAAAUAUUGAUUAAGUUCAAGUGCCAAUCACAAAAUCCCAGCAAAGAAUAGACAAGAAGUUCAGAUUUCCACAUUCGCACAGGAAUCCUGAGUUUGCUGAUGCAUGGUGAGAAAUGGCUGCAAUAUGGCAGGAUUUCCAGCAUGCCCUGGCCUGUAUUUAGUACAUUAUCCUGCCAUAUUGCAGCCAUUUCUCACCAUGCAUCAGCUUCUGAAAAUCAAAAAAUAAUGUAUUCCUAUUUCCCUCUUAUCUGCCCUGUUAGACAGAUCUACAAAAAAACUUCUUGUUAAACUUAACUUUCACUUCACAAAACAACAUUCAUUUGUCUAUUAAUGUUAUUAUUUUCUUUGAAUAUCCUGUUAUCACAACCUUGCAAUGGAUUCCAGCAUUUUGCUACCAGCAGACAGCAGGCAAAUUGAUUUGUAGUUCCCUAUUUUUUCAUAUAUAUCUUAUAACAUAGAAAAAAGUGCAGGAGUGGGCUACACAACCUUCUGAGCCAGCUCCAUCAUUUAAUAUUACAAUAACUUAUACUCCAUAGCAAUACCACUUAAGGGAACAUUAGAUUAGGAAACAUGACUUGUCAAUCAAGUUAGAUGAAAUUGGUGAGGAAGGCUCAUGUGAGGCACAGACAUCCAAUCGGUUUGGUUUGUAAUCCCUCUUGGACGAUGGCCUUUUUUAGUAAAUGCAAUGUUGUGCCAUUCAAGAAUUCUUGUUAUGUUAAACCAAGAUAUCCAAUCUUAUUAUUUAUACAUCUAUACACGUUCAUGGUUGUCAA